UUUUUAGUAAAGACAAUAACUAAUAUACAAUCAUAUGUUAUGUGCAAGCGUGGCUACCAACCUAUAGUCUUAAACCGUCAACAAAUGCAGUUUGGUGAUAUGAGCAGCAAACAGAGAUUAGAGAGGCAGCAAAGAAAGAUAACAGAAGAGACAGACGGAAAGAACACCGGAGGCGGAGAGCCACAGGAGGAGGAGCUCGAGGGACGACGACCAGCUGAAUUAGGACUGGAGGGGGCAGACGACGUCGUCGUAGCGGCAGCAGCAGGAGAAGGGAAGACUCAAACGAGGGAUCUCCGAGAGAGGAGUGUGGUAGGCAGGAAGAAAGAAUAAGGCGAGCCGAGAGCCAUUCGCAUGGAGGCGGCGAUGGAUCUGAUGCGGCGGAUGCCGCCACGGAGCGCGGAGACGGCGCUCAACGCGCUGCUCUCCCUCCUCCCCGACCACUCCCUCGACCUCCUCUCCCAGGUCGACCUCCCGCUCCAGGUUUGCAUGGAUAAGGAGAGCCUGAAGGAAUACAUUCUAUGCGAAUAUAACCGUGAUGCUGACUCCUACCGAUCUCCUUGGUCAAACAAAUAUGACCCCCCUUUGGAAGAUGGGACAGUUCCUUCUCAAGGGAUGAGGAAUCUUGAGGUUGAGGCAAACGAAGUUUUCUCAGUGUAUCGUGACCAGUACUAUGAAGGUGGCAUCUCAUCUGUUUACAUUUGGGAGGAUGAAGAUAAUGGGUUUAUCGCAUGCUUCUUAAUUAAGAAAGAUGGACAAGGAAAAAGAGGGUACAUGCAGAUUGGUUCAUGGGAUGCUAUUCAUGUUGUUCAGGUUGGUCCUGAAGAAGAAGGAGCGGCACAUUACUGCUUGAACAGCACUGUGAUGCUCUCAUUGACAACAAACAACAAGCAGUCUGGAACUUUCAACCUGUCUGGAUCCAUUAGACGGCAGAUGAGUAUGACUCUUGCUGUAGCUGAUGGACACCUUGUUAAUAUGGGGAAAAUGAUAGAAGAAAUGGAGGGGAAGCUGAGAAAUUCACUGGACCAAGUUUAUUUUGGGAAGACCAGAGAAAUGGUUUGCACUCUUCGGCCACCACCAGAAGUUCUUAAUAUGAGACUACCUGACAGCUGAGCCAGUGCAUAGAAGUGUCAACUUAACAAAGAAAAACGUAUUCUUCUCCACUCUAGGCGUGGUCUGUUCUUGCUUCGUAGUUAAUAGUCUGUGCAUCUGUAUCGACAUCUGUUGAGUGGAAUUCAGUUACCAACAGAUGAAUCUCCACAAAACGUUGUGUUGGCGUUCUGUAUCUUCUGAAGAAUCUGAUGGUGUUGUGGCUGGCCUUGCUAUCUGUCAAAGUACUAAUGCGGUGUUUGUUUUGAGGAGUCACCUCAUAUCGGAUAAGAUUGUGCAUCCUGAGUCCAUUUUAAAACCUGGUGUUUCUUAUGCUUU